rnacentral:rRNA from 1 species
GACGAACGCCGGCGGCGUGCUUAACACAUGCAAGUCGAACGGAAAGGCCCUGCUUUUGUGGGGUGCUCGAGUGGCGAACGGGUGAGUAACACGUGAGUAACCUGCCCUUGACUUUGGGAUAACUUCAGGAAACUGGGGCUAAUACCGGAUAGGAGCUCCUGCUGCAUGGUGGGGGUUGGAAAGUUUCGGCGGUUGGGGAUGGACUCGCAGCUUAUCAGCUUGUUGGUGGGGUAGUGGCUUACCAAGGCUUUGACGGGUAGCCGGCCUGAGAGGGUGACCGGCCACAUUGGGACUGAGAUACGGCCCAGACUCCUACGGGAGGCAGCAGUGGGGAAUAUUGCACAAUGGGCGGAAGCCUGAUGCAGCAACGCCGCGUGCGGGAUGACGGCCUUCGGGUUGUAAACCGCUUUCGCCUGUGACGAAGCGUGAGUGACGGUAAUGGGUAAAGAAGCACCGGCUAACUACGUG